GACGAACGCUGGCGGCGUGCUUAACACAUGCAAGUCGAACGGAAAGGCCCCAGCUUGCUGGAGUGCUCGAGUGGCGAACGGGUGAGUAACACGUGGGUAAUCUGCCCUGCACUCUGGGAUAAGCCUGGGAAACUGGGGCUAAUACCGGAUAGGACCUUCCUCCUCAUGGGGUUUGGUGGAAAGUUUUGCGGUGUAGGAUGGGCCCGCGGCCUAUCAGCUUGUUGGUGGGGUAAUGGCCUACCAAGGCCUUGACGGGUAGCCGGCCUGAGAGGGUGAUCGGCCACAUUGGGACUGAGAUACGGCCCAGACUCCUACGGGAGGCAGCAGUGGGGAAUAUUGCACAAUGGGCGAAAGCCUGAUGCAGCAACGCCGCGUGAGGGAUGACGGCCUUCGGGUUGUAAACCGCCUUCGGUAGUGACGAAGCGCAAGUGACGGUACCUGCAGAAGAAGCACCGGCUAACUACGUG
rnacentral:rRNA from 1 species